AUGGCGCGUCGCAGGACCCGUGCUAGCCACGGGGGCCGCGGGCCCGGGGAUGGGGGGUGGGGGCGAGGCCCGCGCCUCUCACUCCCCAACGACACCACCGCCACCACGAGGUUUUUCUCCCUGCCCCUUCGCUUUUCGCUUGGGGGCGGGGCCCGCACGCCUCUGCGGACGCUUGGCUUUUUCUCGGUGCCGCGGCUUAGGGCCGCAAAAGGGAGCGGCGGGCAGAAAGCCCUCACACCCCCAGAAAAUACGGAGGAGACCGGGCGGGCAGACCCCCACGCUCUGCGCCCCGCACGCCUACAAGCGAAAGAAAACGAAGCGGGGACCCCGUUCGCAACCCAGCCCGCCGGGCCACGGUGGCUCGGUCCGCACCGGCCACGACAACUGAGGAAGGGCGAGGCGCCGCCGCCUCGCCCGCGCCAUCUCUCUCUCUCUCGGCCCGGGGGCAUUUUUCCCCGUCGCGUUCGGGUGUCCGCACGCGGGCGGGGCCGGCCACCGCGGCCGGCCGCCGCCCCUGAAACAAAUUCCGCCCGCAAAAGCGCGGGUCCCCGGCUUAAGGCCGAGGAAGGGGGAACGAGGGCCACAACAACUCGGGGCGGGGGACAACCCGGUCUUCGGGGACGGGCCGGGGGUGGGGUGGUAAAGCCUCGAACGAAGCUCGAGCAACGGUUAGACAGAGGCGCCCCCGGCCGACGUCUGCCCCCGGCUGCCGGGCCCACACCGUGGCCCCACCGAGACCGGCAGCCGAAAAACAAAAAAAAAAACUGCACCCCGCCGAGGGGGGCCCCCCGGCUUAAGGCCGAGCACAUAAGGGACGAGGCGCCGCCGCCUCGCCCGCCAGCCACCGGCAUUCGCUUCCCCGCCCCAGGGCUGGGGCGGGGGGGAGGGAGGCGGGACUGGACCGGAAUCGGCAGCAGCACGACCAGAGCGGGGGGGACCCGCCUGCGGCAGGGAGGCGGGACUGGACCGGAAUCGGCAGCAGCACGACCAGAGCGGGGGGGACCCGCCUGCGGCUUCUCUGCCUCCUCCACGCCCUUCCCUUCUCGCCUCGGCCGCCCGCGCGGCAACACUCUCUCUGGGCAAGCAGCACACGCUUCCUCGGCAUCACGACAAGCUGGCCCCCCACCAUCGGCACGAUGGGUAGCACGGGGAAGCGGGACGAGCCCCGCGACUCGGUCCCGCCGAGGCGGCAACACUCCCCCUUCUCUCUCUGGGCAAGCAGCGGCAACGACGCCUCCUCGGCCUGGCAAACAAAGCUGCCCCACCGGCACGAUGGGUAGCACGGGAAGCGGGACGAGCCCCGCGACUCGGUCCCGCCGAGGCGGCACACUCUCGGUUUCUCUCUCGGGCCUCCCUUGCCGGCGGCUCUCCCCUUCGUUUCUCUCUGAGCUCAGCGCCGGCGACCGGCCGGGCGGCCGGCCCGUAGCUUCGCCUCCGGAGGACACAGGCACGGUAGCAGCCUGGGGGAGACGACCCGUUACCUCGCUC
rnacentral:lncRNA from 1 species